GUUUAUACCACGUGUGGUAUAAACAGAUUGUUAAUCAACAGCUGUAAUGAUUAACUGAUGGUCUGAGAGUUGAUUAACACGGCGUAUUGUGGUAGAAAUUAAUAUCCUGUAAACGUAUUUACUCACAGUAUAUUUAGAAAAUGAUUGCUGGACAACAAAUGUUUUACACUUUAUACCUGUUUAACAUUGACAUGUCCUCCAGUAGUGUGAAAUGGUGUAGACAUUAUACGAGUCUGUGAUAAUUUGUAUGAAGUAAAAUGUGUUUGAUAAAAGUACCAUAAAUAUUUCACCACCACCUGGACAAACUGACAAAUUAUCUCUGGGAUAACUUCCCUAAUGAUGAGUUAGUAGUAGAAAUUUUAGUGCUCUAAAGUAACCAGAGUGGUGAAAGUUCCAGUAGGUUAACAUUUCUGAUUGAUCAGAUCACAGAUUACAAGUCCAGGAUCUGAUAUAGCGAUAGUUAACUUAUCUAGUUGGAGUUCUCAUUUUUUCAUCAAAUGAUGAAUCUUGCUUCAGAUUGAAUCUUGAAAUAAAAUAUUUUUUAUUUGUGAUUUAUAUAUUUAAAAUAAUCAGUAUUAAUUUGUUUUAUCUCCGACUGUCGCGAUGUACAGUAAACAAGGACUUCUCUGAAUCAGCUGUAGAUAGUAAGGGGAGGUAAUCCUUCAGUUGUUUCCUAACUAAGGUUUAGAAUUGGUUUCUGAUAAUGAAAAGGUCUCAUGUUUUUUUUAAAUUUGUUAUAUUUAUUUCCAUUAUAGUAUAAACUUAAUUGCUAAGUGUGUAUAGAAUUGUUUUUCUUGAAUGAUUUUAGAUUUAUUACCCAAUAAUGUUCAAUAAUGUUCAACAAUAUCUAAAUAUACUUUUUGAAGUCUUGAAGUAUGUUUGUUAAAUUUUCUUAGGAAAUCAAUAGAAUUUUUUUUUUGCUGAAACAUGAUAAGAAGCUAUGCUACCUAUUUCUGAUUAUAAUCUUUCCUUUGUUUAAAAUUUAUGUAUUAUAAUAUGUUCUUACUGUCCGAUGUUGAGGUGGUAAUGACUUUAUUGCUGGUUUCAUGAAUAUAUAAAUCCAAUACUGAUAGUGCUGAUAUGUAGGUAGGACUGAUAGUACUGAUAUGUAGGUAGGACGCAGGGACAGAUAGUACUGAUAUGUAGGUAGGACACACUGACUGAUAGUACUGAUAUGUAGGUAGGACACACGGACUGAUAGUACUGAUAUGUAGGUAGGGCACACAGACUGAUAGUACUGAUAUGUAGGUAGGACACACAGACUGAUAGUGCUGAUAUGUAGGUAGGACACACAGACUGAUAGUGCUGAUAUGUAGGUAGGACACAGGGACUGAUAGUACUGAUAUGUAGGUAGGACUGAUAGUACUGAUAUGUAGGUAGGACACAGGGACUGAUAGUACUGAUAUGUAGGUAGGACACACAGACUGAUAGACUGAUAUGUAGGUAGGACACAGGGACUGAUAGUACUGAUAUGUAGGUAGGACACAGUGACUGAUAGUACUGAUAUGUAGGUAGGACACAGGGACUGAUAGUACUGAUAUGUAGGUAGGACACACGGACUGAUAGUACUGAUAUGUAGGUAGGACAGAGGGACUGAUAGUACUGAGAUGUAGGUAGGACACACAGACUGAUAGUGCUGAUAUGUAGGUAGGACACAGUGACUGAUAGUGCUGAUAUGUAGGUAGGACACAGGGACUGAUAGUACUGAUAUGUAGGUAGGACACAGGGACUGAUAGUACUGAUAUGUAGGUAGGACACAGGGACUGAUAGUACUGAUAUGUAGGUAGGACACACAGACUGAUAGUACUGAUAUGUAGGUAGGACACACAGACUGAUAGUGCUGAUAUGUAGGUAGGACACACAGACUGAUAGUGCUGAUAUGUAGGUAGGACACAGGGACUGAUAGUACUGAUAUGUAGGUAGGACACACAGACUGAUAGUACUGAUAUGUAGGUAGGACACACAGGGACUGAUAGUACUGAUAUGUAGGUAGGACACAGGAACUGAUAGUACUGAUAUGUAGGUAGGACACAGGGACUGAUAGUACUGAUAUGAAGGUAGGACACACAGACUGAUAGUACUGAUAUGUAGGUAGGACACAGGGACUGAUAGUACUGAUAUGUAGGUAGGACACAGGAACUGAUAGUACUGAUAUGUAGGUAGGACACAGUGACUGAUAGUACUGAUAUGUAGGUAGGACACAGGGACUGAUAGUACUGAUAUGUAGGUAGGACACACGGACUGAUAGUACUGAUAUGUAGAUAGGACACAGGGACUGAUAGUACUGAUAUGUAGGUAGGACACAGGGACUGAUAGUACUGAUAUGUAGGUAGGACACACUGACUGAUAGUACUGAUAUGUAGGUAGGACACAGGGACUGAUAGUACUGAUAUGUAGGUAGGACAUUCAGACUGAUAGUACUGAUAUGUAGGUAGGACACAGGGACUGAUAGUGCUGAUCAAUAUGUAGGUAGAACACAGGGACUGAUAGUGCUGAUAUGUAGGUAGGACACAGGGACUGAUAGUACUGAUAUGUAGGUAGGACACACGGACUGAUAGUACUGAUAUGUAGGUAGGACAGAGGGACUGAUAGUACUGAGAUGUAGGUAGGACACACAGACUGAUAGUGCUGAUAUGUAGGUAGGACACAGUGACUGAUAGUGCUGAUAUGUAGGUAGGACACAGGGACUGAUAGUACUGAUAUGUAGGUAGGACUGAUAGUACUGAUAUGUAGGUAGGACUGAUAGUACUGAUAUGUAGGUAGGACACAGGGACUGAUAGUACUGAUAUGUAGGUAGGACACAGGAACUGAUAGUACUGAUAUGUAGGUAGGACACACAGACUGAUAGUACUGAGAUGUAGGUAGGACACACAGGGACUGAUAGUACUGAUAUGUAGGUAGGACACAGGAACUGAUAGUACUGAUAUGUAGGUAGGACACAGGGACUGAUAGUACUGAUAUGAAGGUAGGACACACAGACUGAUAGUACUGAUAUGUAGGUAGGACACAGGGACUGAUAGUACUGAUAUGUAGGUAGGACACAGGAACUGAUAGUACUGAUAUGUAGGUAGGACACAGUGACUGAUAUGUAGGUAGGACACAGGGACUGAUAGUACUGAUAUGUAGGUAGGACACACGGACUGAUAGUACUGAUAUGUAGAUAGGACACAGGGACUGAUAGUACUGAUAUGUAGGUAGGACACAGGGACUGAUAGUACUGAUAUGUAGGUAGGACACACUGACUGAUAGUACUGAUAUGUAGGUAGGACACAGGGACUGAUAGUACUGAUAUGUAGGUAGGACAUUCAGACUGAUAGUACUGAUAUGUAGGUAGGACACAGGGACUGAUAGUGCUGAUCAAUAUGUAGGUAGAACACAGGGACUGAUAGUGCUGAUAUGUAGGUAGGACACAGGGACUGAUAGUACUGAUAUGUAGGUAGAACACACGGACUGAUAGUACUGAUAUGUAGGUAGGACAGAGGGACUGAUAGUACUGAGAUGUAGGUAGGACACAGGGACUGAUAGUACUGAUAUGUAGGUAGGACACACUGACUGAUAGUACUGAUAUGUAGAUAGGACACAGGGACUGAUAGUACUGAUAUGUAGGUAGGACACAGGGACUGAUAGUACUGAUAUGUAGGUAGGACACAGGGACUGAUAGUACUGAUAUGUAGGUAGGACACACGGACUGAUAGUACUGAUAUGUAGGUAGGACAGAGGGACUGAUAGUACUGAGAUGUAGGUAGGACACACAGGGACUGAUAAUACUGAUAUGUAGGUAGGACACAGGUACUGUUUCAUCAGAAAUAUAUUAUUGUUGUACAUCACUGCAAUGGCUUUCAGCUUUUAAUCCAUUUUGUCAAAAUAAUAUGUUAUAAACAUGUGUAUUUUGUAUAUAUGGUGAAAGAUUCCCAACAUAUAUAAUACACAUGUUAACAACACAAUACUUAUGUGGAAUCUUACCAUAAAAUACAGUUUCCAGUCCUGAUGAUACAGGGUUCCCUAUUCCACCCUGAAGAGUGCAUUACACAUAUUAGCUAUUUCAUUAAUGUUGUAUUAAGUGUUAAUGUGAUGUUCAUGACCUAAAUCAUCUGUCUAUCAUAAUAGUUGAUUGUUUAACCAUUUUUGGGAAGAAAUUAGUUAUAAAACAUCAGGUUAUUAGUAAAACAGAAAAUGGAAUUGGAAAAAUUUCUAUUUUUGAUUUCUCCAUACAGUGUUGUUUACUGUAAAUCACUUAUAUUUUGUGUCCCAGAUAAUUUCGGCAAGGAUUGUAUUUCUGAUCACAGGGGCUUGGCACGAUUUUCUGAAUGAUGGUCCAUAUAUAUGUAUGUAUUAUAGUGUUAUUGCACGAUUUUUCAAAUGACGGUCCAUACAUAUAUGUAUUAUUAUAGUGUAAUACAUAUAUAUAUAUAUAUAUAUGGACCAUCAUUUGGAAAAUCGUGCCAAGCCCCUGUGUUUCUGAUUUACAAAUCAGACACUGAUGCCUAAGUAUGCAUGUAUAUACAGUGAAACCUGUCUAAUCCGACACCAUGUGGGAGUGACAGUUUUGGUCAGAUUAUACAGGGUGUCGGAAGAGUCCGGUAUUGUUGUUCACUACACUUGGCAUCAUGGGAAUACGGUACAGUGUCGGAUUAGACUUGAUGUCGGAAAAGUCAGUUGUCGGAUAAGACAGGUUUCAUUGUACAUAUUGGCAUGUGGGAUAUGCUCAUUUUUAGAUGAAUUCAUAUACAUGUUAACAAAGUCUAAGAUGUGUUUUUGGUUCCUUAUUCCAGGAGCAUCCUCUCAUUAAGAGCUAAUUAUGUAAUAAUGAGUGAUAUAUCAGCCAGUGUUAUGAUAUUUACAUGUUGACAAGUUUUCAAUAUUAGCAUUUAUUUUGUCAACAUGUUUAUCGGGUAUGCAAUUUACAUUACAAUUAGCAUUUUAAUGUACUCGGUGUAUAAAUAUGUAUGUUAGUAUUACAUAGCUUUAGUAUAAAUACUAUUAUGUUGGCUUUAAGGCUUUUACUGCCCAAGAUGGCUCACAACUUUAAUUCCAAUCAGAACAAAAAUCUAUUUAGUGACAAUCAAUUUUUAGUUGAAACUUUCUUAUCAAUAAGUUGAACAAAUUUGUUCGUUACCAAGAGUCUACCAGGUUUAAGUCUUGUAUGUCAUGAAGACAAUGUAUCAAAAGUUGUUCUUACAUUUUGUAUUUCAUUAAUUAAGAUCAUUGAAAUAUAAGUUGAUGUGCUUUAUCACUUAAAUUAAGACAAAAGAUAAAAAGAAAAGUUUUCCUGCAUUUUGACAGCAUGCAUUGGUUUGGCCUUAAAAGUGUUGUGGUAAUGUUGGACAAAAAUGACAUGAAGAUAUGGUUAUUUUAACUUAGAUGUUCGAAAAGCAUUUGCUACAAAAUCUUUCAUUUUACCAUGCAAAUAAGUAAAUGAAAACAGUUAAUAAGACAAAGGGGAGACAACUCUAGGUACCUUAAUUGUGAAUCCAGAUUAAAAUCCAUUUCACUGUGUACUUGUGAAGCAUUAGAUUUGAUCUAUUGCCAGUUUUAUCAGUCUCAAACUCUGUACUCUAAUAUAUAAAACUUAUUAAAAGAAUUACAUGUAUAUGUGUAUCUUCCUGAAGUAUGAAUUUAUUUUCCUUACUUGUAUAUAGAACCUUCAAUCUGUCAGCCAUUUCCAGAUGAUGUUGGCUUGUGUCAAAAUCCAGGUAGAACACUAUACUAUCAAUAAGUAUUUAUAAAUGCCCUUUUAAAUUUCUGUUUCUCUUUUCUUUUAAGAGGACCCAAUGAUUGAUAAAAAAAACUUGAAGACACAAGGGAGAGACGCUGUCAAUAUGGAGUAGUUUGCCAAUUUUCAUCGGUCCUGAUUUUCAUUUACAUUGUAUUAAAAAUUAUUUUCUGUAGUUUCUGAUUUGUUCAAUUUAAAAAAACAACUAGAUGCAGGUUUUUGAUGCUGUUUAAAAGAAAAAUAUAGUUGAAUUAUGAGGUGUUGCAAUUUAAAUAAGCUAAAAUUAUGUAAUAUACCAUACAAAAAGAUUUAGUAUGGAAUACAUUAUUUUAAAAUCUGAAAUGAGUAGCGGUAGAUUAUGUUUAUUAAAAUAUGACUUAACGAAACUGCCAUAUGAUAUGAACAUGAUGUUUCUUCUUAUGAUUCCGGAACUCUCAAUUAUAGAGGUAUACAAGGCAUACAAUUGUGGUUAACUUAAGACAACAUCUGUAUACACAGGUGGAAUGGGAGGAGGAUGUUACAGCUGUGUUAUUUGGUACACAUAGAUACAUUAAUAUAUUCACACUAAGGUGGCAUGGCUUAUAGAUCUGUCAAUAUGUUUCCUUGACCCAAGACUAUCUGAUAUAUGGUCAGGAAAGAAUGUGAAUAUGAUCAUUUCUAUUGAUACGUAUAUACCUACACAAGCAUGUAGAACAUCAUAAUUUAAACCUGUCUAAUCCAAUACCUAGUCGUUCUAGCAUCCUUAUUCAGUUUUCUAUUUGGGGGCCACAAUAGCUCCGUCGGUUAGAACACCCAACAAUGUUACCUCAGAUGAAGAUCCGAGGUGCUGGUUCGACGAUCUCUACUCAUGUCAGUUUGUGUUUCUCGGAAAGCUGAGGAACUGGCCACUUUGUGAAGUAGUGGUUGUGUCCAUGCAAGACACUUUACCCUUAUUGCUCUGGAUGACUUGCGACGGAACUCUCAUAUGUUAUUUACCGAGAUAGUCACCUACUUCUACAAGGAAACCGGCGACCUCAAAAUGACCCUGGCAGUUCACUAUAAAAAAUAACUUGAAGUUGAUAUAUUGUAUUAUUGUCAAUCUAUCUGUAAAUAGUAAUUCAGUUCCAAAGGGGUAGUUAGAUAUAAACAGUUCAUCUGGUGUUUUAUGUCUAACAGGCUUUUGAUUGGACAGGUUAAUCUUGUCGGUAUGUUAAGUCUGACAGGUUUCAGAUUAGACAGGUUAAUCUGUCCGGUAUGUUGAGUCUGACAGGUUUCAGGUUAGACAGGUUAAUCUGUCGGUAUGUUGAGUCUGACAGGUUUCAGGUUAGACAGGUUAAUCUGUCGGUAUGUUGAGUCUGACAGGUUUCAGAUUAGACAGGUUAAUCUGUCCGGUAUGUUGAGUCUGACAGGUUUCAGAUUAGACAGGUUAAUCUGGUCGUUAUGUCGAGUCUGACAUGUUUCAGAUUAGACAGGUUAAUCUGUCCGGUAUGUUGAGUCUGACAGGUUUCAGAUUAGACAGGUUAAUAUGGUCGUUAUGUCGAGUCCGACAUGUUUCAGAUUAGACAGGUUAAUCUGUCCGGUAUUUUGAGUCUGACAGGUUUCAGAUUAGACCGGAUCUUAAGGUUUCAGAUUAGACAGGUUAAUCUGGUCGGUAUGUUGAGUCUGACAGGUUUCAGAUUAGACAGGUUAAUCUGGUCGGUAUGUUGUGUCUGACAGGUUUCAGAUUAGACAGGUUAAUCUGGUCGUUAUGUUGAGUCUGACAGGUUUCAGAUUAGACAGGUUAAUCUGGUCGGUAUGUUGAGUCUGACAGGUUUCAGAUUAGACAGGAUCUUCCAUUGGGGUGUCAAAUUAAACUGGUCGCACUGUUAUAACUACAUGUAGGUAUGUCAAAAUAAUAAUUGACGCUGUAUUUAAUGGUAUAUUGUACAAAUAAAAUAUAUUGUUGUUGCA